CCUACGGGAGGCAGCAGUGGGGAAUCUUGCGCAAUGGGCGAAAGCCUGACGCAGCCAUGCCGCGUGAAUGAUGAAGGUCUUAGGAUUGUAAAAUUCUUUCACCGGGGACGAUAAUGACGGUACCCGGAGAAGAAGCCCCGGCUAACUUCGUGCCAGCAGCCGCGGUAAUACGAAGGGGGCUAGCGUUGCUCGGAAUUACUGGGCGUAAGGGAGCGUAGGCGGAUAGUUUAGUCAGAGGUGAAAGCCCAGGGCUCAACCUUGGAAUUGCCCUUGAUACUGGCUAUCUUGAGUACGGAAGAGGUAUGUGGAACUCCGAGUGUAGAGGUGAAAUUCGUAGAUAUUCGGAAGAACACCAGUGGCGAAGGCGACAUACUGGUCCGUUACUGACGCUGAGGCUCGAAAGCGUGGGGAGCAAACAGGAUUAGAUACCCUGGUAGUCCACGCUGUAAACGAUGAGUGCUAGUUGUCGGCAUGCAUGCAUGUCGGUGACGCAGCUAACGCAUUAAGCACUCCGCCUGGGGAGUACGGUCGCAAGAUUAAAACUCAAAAGAGUAGUACGGCGUGAGACGUGCCGAACGGACGCACGAGGGAGGAG
rnacentral:rRNA from 1 species